rnacentral:lncRNA from 1 species
GGCAGUGACUCAGCUGUGGCCUGGGGUGGGGGUGACCAGGCUAUUUUGGGGGAAUGAAUAAGGAGGGGCAUUUGAUACCUGGAUGACCCUGCCUCUAAUCCUCUGAAUCCCCUUUCUCUAGGCUGGGCUGGUUUCUUGUGUGGAUGCCAUGUACACCAUCGUGUGGGGUCAGAGCCCUCUGAGAGGAGCCCAGCCUUCCUCCCUCCUCAUUCCCCUGUCUUCAUUCCAGAGAGAAGGGGUUGGGGGAAUUUCUGAAUAACCGCCCCCAGCUCCUCAAGAGGGCCCUAGUUUCCACACUAUUCUCUAGGUCCUUGUCCACUUCUGGACUCUUCCCUGUGACUCAGGGCCUAGACUCUCUGGGAAUGGAGAGGGAGAGGAAUGUGGCACAAGGGAGCUGACUUGGGGGCUAUUUCUGACUCUGGAGUCAUCAGCUGCUCAGUCACAGACGAGGGUGGCAGUGAGGUAGGGGUAUCACAUUUGCCUCCUCUUUGCUCCCUGGAAGAGCCUGAGGGACCUGGUGGGCUUCAGAGAUGCGGGCACUUGGACCGGUCUACAGUGUACACCUUGGCGGAAUCGUCCCCUUAGAUGAGAACCGAAAGGGCUGCUGAGGGGGAGAUGGAAAAAAGAGACCACAUAGGAGACUGUACUGAUGCGUUUAUGACCGGAUGGUAGAAGACUGUGCCACCCCGAGAUGUGCCACUUCAGCACAAGGAUUACUUUGAGCUAAAGUCAAUUGGGAAGGAACACACAAGAUUUCUUUCUUCCCUCUUCCGGGAGGAAAAGCAGCGAAGACAUCGCCACACCCCUAUGGCCUGCAGAGGGCGCCAGAGGACUCUGACGACCUGUACCACCCGGAAGACACGCUCUUUUCCUGUCUUGUCACUACCCUUAUUGUUCUUUAUCCGUGUUGUCGGAGUUCUAAGCCACCUCUUUGAGAGUUACUGUCCCUAGGUUUUUCUCUCAUGUACGUUUGAAUGUAUAUGUUAA